rnacentral:rRNA from 1 species
CAGUCGCCGCGGUAAUACGAAGGGGGCUAGCGUUGUUCGGAUUUACUGGGCGUAAAGCGCACGUAGGCGGACUUUUAAGUCAGGGGUGAAAUCCCGGGGCUCAACCCCGGAACUGCCUUUGAUACUGGGAGUCUUGAGUUCGAGAGAGGUGAGUGGAAUUGCGAGUGUAGAGGUGAAAUUCGUAGAUAUUCGCAGGAACACCAGUGGCGAAGGCGGCUCACUGGCUCGAUACUGACGCUGAGGUGCGAAAGCGUGGGGAGCAAACAGGAUUAGAUACCCCAGUAGUCCCUGUCUCUUAUAC